AUUUCUAUACACCUGGAAAAAAGUGUUGCAACACCAAAUUGAAAUUGAAAUUAAAAAAACAUUUUUUAUUUUUUUGAGAUAUAAUUUGGUAAAAUAGAACUACUUAAACAUUAUUUAAGUAUCACCUGAGUUUAAUCAAUAAAUAUCGACUCGGUAAGUUUUUAUUCGCACAUGCAGCUACUGUACCCGUAAACAGCAAAACAGAUGUUUUCAUCCUCAUUGUUUUCAACACUUUAAAUAACCAAGUUGUUAAAGUUAUGUGAUUGACACCUUGUAAUGGGUCCUCGACAACUCUAAACUGCAGCAAGAUGACAGAUUAUCAGCAUGAGAGAAGCAAGGAUGUCGCUGUAACAACUGCAAUCAUUGUUGGUCAUCACCAUUCCACUAUAAGUCGUUUUAAGAAUAAAAAAUGGCACUAAACGAUGUUAAAGAUCUUCCGAGAUAAAGAAGACCCCCUAUACCAUUUACUAGGGAAAAUCAAGCAUAAUAA
rnacentral:lncRNA from 1 species